UGCCAGACUCCUACGGGAGGCAGCAGUGAGGAAUAUUGGUCAAUGGGCGCGAGCCUGAACCAGCCAAGUCGCGUGAGGGAGGACGGCCCUACGGGUUGUAAACCUCUUUUGCCGGGGAGCAACGGGCGUCACGUGUGGCGCCACUGAGAGUACCCGGAGAAAAAGCAUCGGCUAACUCCGUGCCAGCAGCCGCGGUAAUACGGAGGAUGCGAGCGUUAUCCGGAAUUACUGGGUGUAAAGGGAGCGUAGGCGGGCGAGAAAGUUGAAUGUUAAAUCUACCGGCUUAACUGGUAGCUGCGUUCAAAACUUCUUGUCUUGAGUGAAGUAGAGGCAGGCGGAAUUCCUAGUGUAGCGGUGAAAUGCGUAGAUAUUAGGAGGAACACCAGUGGCGAAGGCGGCCUGCUGGACGACAACUGACGGUGAGGCGCGAAAGCGUGGGGAGCAAACAGGAUUAGAUACCCCCGUA
rnacentral:rRNA from 1 species